GGCCGGAGCCCCGCCCACUCGCUUCCGGUUCCGGCGGCGGGCAGGAUGCCAGGGCUGCCCCCAGAGCUCCUUGGUUGCACUAACCCUUAUUGUACUCAUUAACUAUUUAAUUAACUAGUGAAUUGAUUAAUUAGUUGGCUAAUUAAUUGACUAAGUAAGUAAUUAAGCAAUUAAUAAGUAUAUCAAUAAGUAAUAAUUAAUUAUCAUUUGGAUGCCCUCAAUGCGACCUCAGUCACCACCCCGCUGUCAUUAGCUCACGAAUGAAUCAACUAAGUAAUUAACGGGCUCACUAAUGAGCUAAUGAAGUAAUUAAUUAGUGAAAGAUUUCACUCCCCUGUGUCGUUAAGUAACUAAUUAGCUAACUGGUUAACUACUUAGUUAACUAAUUAAUUAAAACUUCUUCCCCCACUGGAGCUCAAGCCACCCCCCGCCCAGAAGAGCUCCACCAAUCGCAGCACUGGGUGCCCCCAGUAUCAUGAACUAAUCAAUUCAUUAAUUAACUAAGUAAUUAACUGCUUGAUGAGCUCAUGGAGCAAUUAAUUAGCUCAUGGAGCAAUUAAUUAGCUAACGAAGCUUUUAUCUCCCCGCAGGUCUGCCCCCACAGCUCCUCCAUUCGCGACGCUGGGCGUCCAGUGCCCAACCCCCAUCUAAUUAAGUAACCGAGUCAUCAACUAACGAACGAACUAAUUAAUUGCCUAACCGAUUAACUAAUUUCUGAACUAAUUAGUUAGGUAAUUAGCGAUUUCAGCUCCCUGCAGGAUGCGGGUCCCUGACCCAACCGCUUUGUCACUGAGUAACGAGAUAAUCAACUCAUGAAUUCAAUUGAAUGUCCAACUAACCAAUUAAUUAAUUAAACAAUUAAUUAACCAGUAAAUUAAUUGAUUAGCCACUUAACCAAUUAAUUGACUAAUUACUUAACCACUUAACCAAUUAAUUGACUAAUUACUUAACCACUUAACCUCUUAACCAGUGAAUUAACUAGAUAGGUUAACCACUGAACCGAUUCAUUCGCUAAUUAAUUAGCCAAUUAAAUAGCUAACUAAUGAAUCACUAAUUCAGUUAGCAAAUUCAUCAGCUAAUUAACCACUCAAUUAAGCAGUGAAUUAACCACUCAAUUAACCCAUCCGCUACCGGUUCGCUAACCAAUUAACUGAGGGAUUAAGCAAGGGAUUAAGCAAGGGAUUAAGCAAGGGAUUAACCAAUCACCUAACAAGGAGCGAACCAAUUAAUUACCUUGUUAAUUCCCCCGCUAAUUACCCCAUUAAUUACCCCGUUAAUUACCCGACCAGUUGACAAAUUCACCAGCUAAUGAAC